CAAACCUUUUGGCAAGGAUCAAUGUUUGUUGUUUUUUGUUGGUAAUAAAAUACAGUGACUUGUGUACUAUUAGUAUUGGUGAAGUAACUUUACACUGUCAUAUUUCUAUCUUACUGAGACUUACUGAGAUUCAAAAGUAGUCAUGACAGUUAGUCUUUGAAAAAAAACUAACUAUUUAUCUUUGUAUCUACUGAAUCUCUGUAGGUUUGAUUCUUGUCUGAACUCAGUAAGAAGGAGUGGUCUUUAUGUUUGAGGCGGGGUCUCUUUCUGCCCGAAAGUGAAAAUACAUCCUGAAGCUCUUAUAGCAGUAAGGAGCUUUGUCAGCAUUACUCAGAUUUCCUGCUGUAAGAAUGGUUGGGGCCACAGAUGCACCAGCAUUUUACCUCUCAUGGAACCAAACUUCAUCUGCACCCAUUUUUUUUGUAAUACAAUGGAUCAGUUAUAUGUUAUAUAGCAUCUGUGCUAUUAUUGUGUUGGUGUUUUUGUUCCAUUGCUUUCAUGGAUUCUCCAAGAGAUACAGGCAAAACCGUAAAACAGGUAAAAUCACACCGGAGGUGGGUGAUGCUUUAAAUCAAGGCAGCGGACCAGAAAACAUAAAGG